rnacentral:rRNA from 1 species
UACGUAGGGUGCAAGCGUUAAUCGGAAUUACUGGGCGUAAAGCGUGCGCAGGCGGUUAUAUAAGACAGUUGUGAAAUCCCCGGGCUUAACCUGGGAACUGCGUUUGAAACUACAAGGCUAGAGUGUGGCAGAGGGGGGGUGGAAUUCCACGUGUAGCAGUGAAAUGCGUAGAGAUGUGGAGGAACACCGAUGGCGAAGGCAGCCCCCUGGGUUAACACUGACGCUCAGGCACGAAAGCGUGGGGAGCAAACAGG